GCCGACGGCGGGCGGGAGCCGCAGCGGCGGCGGGCGCGGCGCGGCGCGGCGAGGGGCCGGCGGAGCCGCCAUGAGGUAGGUGGGAGCCCCCAGUAGCCGAGUGAGGCAGCAUGGCAAUGUUCCUGGGAGCCAGGAAUGCCCACUCAGUUCUGAAGCGCUUUCCCCGAGCCAAUGGCUUCCUGGAGGAGAUACGACAGGGCACCAUUGAGCGGGAGUGCAUCGAGGAGGUCUGCAGUUAUGAGGAGGUUAAGGAAGUGUUCGAGAACAAAGAGAAGACGAUGGAGUUCUGGAAAGGCUACACCAACUCCGUCUACUCUGUCAAGGACCCUGGACACAGCACAGAGCGCUCAGAUGCUAUGUAUGUGGUGGUCCCCCUCUUGGGAGUGGCUCUUUUGAUAGUCAUCGCCCUCUUCAUCAUCUGGAGGUGCCAGCUUCAAAAGGCCACACGUCACCGCCCUUCCUAUGCCCAGAACCGCUACCUGGCUAGCCGAACAGUGCGCAGCCUCCCCAGGGUCAUGGUGUACCGGGAACGGUCGCAAAGCCAAGGGGAAACCCAGUAUCAGCGAGAAGGGAGCAACCGGGUAGUUGGAGAUGGCAGAGCAGGGGGCACCCCCCAGCAAGAUGGCACCCUCUACCCACCAGAGCAUUCAGUCUCUGUCCUCUCCAGACUGUCCAGUGCCACCCCUCCACCUUCCUAUGAGGAGGUGACAGGGCACCCGGAGAGCAGCAGUGGCGAAGAGACCAGCAUCUCCUACAAUGACCCACCACCCAAGUAUGAAGAGAUCGUGGCUGCUGCCCCUGUCGUGGGUAAAUAGGGGGUCUGAUGCCUUCCUCCUGCCACUUCACACACACUCAUGCUCGCACUCAUACCCGUCCUUCACUCUGCCUGAGACUCCUUUCCUGUGCCAAUUGGCACCCCAUCUCACUUGUACAAGCUGGUGCCAUCACAGAAUAGCCUUACCCUCCUUACCAAAAACAGCUGUCCCAAAGUGGGGUGGAGGUGGGAAACAGGGAUGGCUCUGGAGUCCAGCCAGACAUCUCCUUCUCCCUGCUCUCCACACACAUAAGUGCUGUAGCAGCCAGAGCAGAGUGACAGCUUGUUACUGCCUCAAUGUGGGGGUUUCCCCAUGGUGCGUUUGAUUUUCUUACCUUUCCUUCAAAAAGACAUAAUGUUUCCUGUGAUUAAAACAGCCUUGCUGCCUCCCUGGGGCUCUGCAGAGCCCUACCACAAGUACACACUGGCUCAUGGGCCUGAGGCACCCAUGGGACUGUUGCUGGGUCAGAAGGGAUCUUUGGGGUUGUUCCUUUCUACGCUCAAGUUCACUGGAGCCAAUUCUUGAUGUGCUGAGACCUCAGUCUUCACCAGACCCUGUUUUGCUGCUCGGGGCUCUGAUUAGGAGUUGGAGAUGCAGGAGGGAUGCUGUGAAUUUCUCUUUCUUCUUACAGUUGGUGUCCACACUUUGUGUUCAGGGAAGAAAGUUCCCUCCAUGCAUGGGUUAUCUGCUACAUGGGAGUGGGUAGCUUGGUUUGUCCUGUGUUGUCUGUGGUGAUAUUGUUUGUUUGGAGAAUAAGGAGGAGCAGCUUGGAAAUGUUUUGUGAUCUAGAUCCCUUUUGAAAGAAAGCCGGUGUUGAACUUGUCCAUGAGGCCUUUACUUCGCCUCUUGGCCUUAGCAGAUCGGCGUUACGCGAAGACCUGACGACGAGCGUCAGGGUCAGAGCCUGGAAGAGACGAGAGGGAGACAGAAGGGCACUCUUGGAUCCUCUGUCUUUGACGCUUGGUCAUUGUCCCUGCAGUUUGUAUUCUGUAAAACUUGGUAUAUUUCUGUGCAAAAAAGUAUUUAUUAAAAAACCCUCACUGUC